rnacentral:tRNA from 2 species
CGGGGAGUAGCUCAGUUGGCUAGAGUGCACGGUUUGGGACCGUGAUGUCGCAGGUUCGAGUCCUGUCUCCCCGACCA